AUGCACGCUGGCGGCGUGCCUCAUACAUGCAAGUCGAGCGAACGGACGAGAAGCUUGCUUCUCUGAUGUUAGCGGCGGACGGGUGAGUAACACGUGGAUAACCUACCUAUAAGACUGGGAUAACUUCGGGAAACCGGAGCUAAUACCGGAUGAUAUUUUGAACCGCAUGGUUCAAAAGUGAAAGACGGUCUUGCUGUCACUUAUAGAUGGAUCCGCGCUGCAUUAGCUAGUUGGUAAGGUAACGGCUUACCAAGGCAACGAUGCAUAGCCGACCUGAGAGGGUGAUCGGCCACACUGGAACUGAGACACGGUCCAGACUCCUACGGGAGGCAGCAGUAGGGAAUCUUCCGAAAUGGGCGAAAGCCUGACGGAGCAACGCCGCGUGAGUGAUGAAGGUCUUCGGAUCGUAAAACUCUGUUAUUAGGGAAGAACAUAUGUGUAAGUAACUGUGCACAUCUUGACGGUACCUAAUCAGAAAGCCACGGCUAACUACGUG
rnacentral:rRNA from 1 species